CUACCUGAUUACCAUAUGUAUUGCUGGAAAAGCGAUCAAAGAAGGCCACAAAAAUAGAAUCCAGAACAUCCCAACUAGCCACGAGAAUGUGCAUGUACUUUGUUCUUAGAUUCUUACAACAGGAAGUAGUACGUACACUACAAGUUCUGCUGUUUAAUUAACUAUUAUGUUUAGUAAUCGGUGUUGAUGCUGUGUCACUAAUUAGGCACAUUACUCAAUCGGUUAUACAUUUGUUGCACUAUAAUUAUAAACUCCCGCAUUUUUCCUGCAAACUCACGCAUUGUGACACUGCUAGGCUGGCAGGUCUGAGACUAUGCAAUGAGUCUGUCAACAGAACUACAUAGAAUGAGAAGAAACUUGAGUCUGAAGUAAACGGAUAAGUAUAAUGUGACGUCCUAACCACAGGGAAUGUGACACAAAACCCAUCUAACUCAACAUGUGUUAUGCAUGGGUUUCUGUAGAUCGAGCUAGUAAAACCCAUAGAAAACACAGCAUGAAACGUUCCAAACACAACAUGGGUUUUAUUCGACGCAUGCCCAGCUGGUAAUGCUGCAUGAGACAGACAGAAUAGCUAGAAUUCGUAGACAUUUGUAGUUUGUACUCGCCUAGUCUAAGUAACUAUUUACUUGAGCUCUGUAGACCGUGUAUGCCUACGCCUAUACGAAACACAAGGAAUAUGGGUUUUUAGGGUUCUGAUGAAAGAACCCACAUAACAAUAGUUGUGAAAUCUGAAAGCCAGUCUGAGCAGAGAACUGAUGCAUUUACAGUAACUAAACGUCAGGAAAGCUGCUUUUAACUAGCAAUUAGCAAGUCUAGAGAGACUAAACAGCUACCAACUUGGGCCUCCCAAGAUGUGACCAUAAGCAGCAGGAUCAAGGAGGAUCGAAAUGAACCAAUCGGCGUCACGCUUGGAAAAGCAUACCUGAACAGGAGCCUUCUGUAGCCAAUCACCAUCACGCAUUGUUCAAAUUGCAAAUACGCGGGCACUUGGACUCAACCGGCAGUCUGUUUUGGCAACUUGCUGUCGCAGGUCUGCAAGAGGAAUAUGCUUUCAGCUACCACCUACCACAGAGAUAUACGUGCAGUGCUCUUCAGAUGUAGAAUGGAUGAAACCAUUGAUGAAGAUGCCUAAGCCCACCGAAAACAGAAAAGUCGAUCGUUUCUUCAAGUUACGAACAUGAAUGGAUGGAGCUGGCCAGGGACCGAGGCUUUUGAACAAGAUUCGAAAACAAAGUUGAACUCAACUAGAAAACAGCAAAAUCCUCAAGUAGAGAUGAAUGCUCACACAACCAUGUAGAGGUCGCUCGUCCUACGGCGGUUCAACCUAAAGAAACCACAGCGAUUCAUGACCUGGGCAAAAGAAUCAUCAGAAACCAAGUGAAAAAGCAGAUAACUGACAAGUACUGCUACUGAACGUGAAAAGAAAGCAGAGACACUCACUUGUGGGAACAUUUCUAGAGUGCAUUUUUGCUAAUCUAGAUAGAGUAAGCAUGCCAAAUAGUUAUUAGCACGUAAUUAAAAGGUGUAGUGAUAAGAUAAGGUAACUGGAAAUAUAAUCAGACAUGAUUACAAUCA